rnacentral:rRNA from 1 species
UACGUAGGGGGCAAGCGUUGUCCGGAUUUAUUGGGCGUAAAGAGCGUGUAGGCGGCUUGACAAGUCUGCUGUGAAAACUCGAGGCUCAACCUCGAGCUGUCGGCGGAAACUGUCAGGCUAGAGUCCGGAAGAGGAGAGUGGAAUUCCUGGUGUAGCGGUGAAAUGCGCAGAUAUCAGGAAGAACACCUAUGGCGAAGGCAGCUCUCUGGGACGGUACUGACGCUGAGACGCGAAAGCGUGGGGAGCGAACAGG